rnacentral:ncRNA from 1 species
GUUCGAAAAAGGCAAACUGUCCGAAAGGGCAGGACGCAAAACCGCUGGCCUAAGUCCGAAAAUUCGAGGGAUACGGUAGCAGGGUUGCCGAG